rnacentral:rRNA from 1 species
CCUACAGGAGGCAGCAGUGGGGAAUAUUGGGCAAUGGAGGAAACUCUGACCCAGCAACGCCGCGUGAAUGAUGAAGGUCUUCGGAUUGUAAAGUUCUUUUCUAAGGGAAGAAGAAAGUGACGGUACCUUAGGAAUAAGCCUCGGCUAACUACGUGCCAGCAGCCGCGGUAAUACGUAGGAGGCAAGCGUUAUCCGGAAUGACUGGGCGUAAAGGGUGCGUAGGUGGUUCAGCAAGUUAGUAGCGUAAUUCCGGGGCUCAACUUCGGCACUACUACUAAAACUGUUGGACUUGAGUGCAGGAGGGGCAACCGGAAUUUCCAGGGUAGCGGGGGAAUGCGUAGAUAUUAGGAAGAACACCGGGUGCGAAGGCGAGUUGCUGGACUGUAACUGACACUGAGGCACGAAAGCGUGGGGAGCAAACAGGAUUAGAUACCCGGGUAGUC